AAUGAAAAAUUAAUUAACAAGAAGAGGGAUGCAGGACCAUGGACAUGGUGGUGUGGUGUAGUGAAAAAGUUGAAUUGUGGAGUUGAUGAACCUAAAGGGGGAUGCAGUGGACUUGUGAGGUGUAGAGAGCCAAAACCUGAGCCUGAGGGCAAAGCGUCUAAAAUCACGUGUUUCACAUGACCAUCAGAGUUCAAAUUUCUAUUUCCCUCUUCACUUACUCCGUCGCGUCGGAAAUCGCCUCCAGCGGCGGCGAAGGUUCAAACCCCUAAAUUCUUAUACCAAAAAUCACCCAUUCUCUCUCUCUCUCACACACACAAUCUUGACUCGAUUCACACUAAUUCCUAACCAAUGUCGCGAAUUGGGUCGAAGAGUGCAAGAACCCUAAAUACAGAAUUUGAAAUUAAACGAUGGUCAUGCAAUAUCAGGCUUCUCAAGCAUAGAGUUAUGACUUCCUAUUGCUAAUACUACCAGAUGCUGACAAAUUUGAAGGCGGUUACAAGAAAAAAAGACAAAGAUCCUACCUUCGGAGCGGAGGCUGCCCCUGAAGUUAUUGCAAUAGAGAUGAUGAAGAUGGAGCAAAAACACUCAGCUAGGGUGAAUGAAUUGUUUUGCUAUGUUUGUGAAGUGGUUCUGCAGCUUGACCUAGUUUAUGGCUCAACCUUGCUUGUCAUAGUUCUAUAGAAGGAAUUCUAAAUUGGCUCAUGCAUGGUGACUUCUUGCAUCUUGCUUGGUCUAUUUUUCUUGGUCAUGUAUGCCAUUAAAUGGAUAAUGGUGGUUGAACAACAAGCUUGCAACACAAAUGACCAAGAUUGAAUUUUGGAACAUUCAUGUCAAAUGGUAAACCAAAGGAUCAAGGGUCAAAGAUUGAAGAUUAGGAAAGGGGUUUAGGGUUUUAGGAUGGAAAAAGAGGUUGAGUUGACUUGGGUCAAAGAUGACCAAGAAGUCAAUUGUUGACCAAAGUCAACACUUGGUCAAAGUUGCCAAAUUUUGGUAUUUUUCCAUGUAAUAAACAUUGUAAUGGAUUGAAUGACUGGAAUUUGUUUUAUUUGAAUGAAA